rnacentral:rRNA from 1 species
CAGUCGCCGCGGUAAUACGUAGGGUGCAAGCGUUAAUCGGAAUUACUGGGCGUAAAGCGUGCGCAGGCGGUUUGUUAAGACAGAUGUGAAACCCCCGGGCUCAACCUGGGAACUGCAUUUGUGACUGGCAGGCUAGAGUAUGGCAGAGGGGGGUGGAAUUCCGCGUGUAGCAGUGAAAUGCGUAGAUAUGCGGAGGAACACCGAUGGCGAAGGCAGCCCCCUGGGCCAAUACUGACGCUCAUGCACGAAAGCGUGGGGAGCAAACAGGAUUAGAUACCCGAGUAGUCCCUGUCUCUUAUAC